rnacentral:rRNA from 1 species
UGAGAUUGAUCCUGGCUCAGGACGAACGCUGGCGGCGUGCUUAACACAUGCAAGUCGAACGAUGAAGCCCUUCGGGGUGGAUUAGUGGCGAACGGGUGAGUAACACGUGGGCAAUCUGCCCUUCACUCUGGGACAAGCCCUGGAAACGGGGUCUAAUACCGGAUAACACUCCUGCCUGCAUGGGCGGGGGUUAAAAGCUCCGGCGGUGAAGGAUGAGCCCGCGGCCUAUCAGCUUGUUGGUGGGGUAAUGGCCCACCAAGGCGACGACGGGUAGCCGGCCUGAGAGGGCGACCGGCCACACUGGGACUGAGACACGGCCCAGACUCCUACGGGAGGCAGCAGUGGGGAAUAUUGCACAAUGGGCGAAAGCCUGAUGCAGCGACGCCGCGUGAGGGAUGACGGCCUUCGGGUUGUAAACCUCUUUCAGCAGGGAAGAAGCGAAAGUGACGGUACCUGCAGAAGAAGCGCCGGCUAAC